UACGUGGGGUCCAAGCGUUAUCCGGAAUCACUGGGCGUAAAGCGUGCGUAGGUGGCGUGUUAAGUGUGAUGUUAAAUCGUGUGGCUCAACCAUAUCGAUGUGUCGCAUACUGGCAUGCUAGAGGGAAGCAGAGGCAAGUGGAAUUUGUAGUGUAGCAGUGAAAUGCGUAGAUAUUACAAGGAACACCAAUGGCGAAGGCAGCUUGCUGGGCUUCUUCUGACACUGAGGUACGAAAGCGUGGGGAGCGAACAGG
rnacentral:rRNA from 1 species